rnacentral:lncRNA from 1 species
GUUAUCAUAAUCCGAGAAAAUACCUUGAAAACCAAAGGCAAAGAGAGGUGAAAACACAAAAGUUCAGUAAAGCAAAGAAAUAGCAACAACCAACCAACAAAUAGCUUCAGCUCAUAUUUAAUCCCAAAGAUCAUAUACUCAAUGAAAACCUUUCAAAAUUCCUCUUCAAUAGCAGAAAACUAAAAAAACAACCAAUUUUUAAUGAAAUAGUGUAGAGAGCUUUUUGCAGUCUUUUUAGGGUCUGAUUC